rnacentral:lncRNA from 1 species
CAGGCCGCUGCAAAGAAGAAUAUUGCUUUAUCGCACCAAGGGUGAAAGAAGUAUAUCUUGUUCAUAUACUGAAAAGAGCACCGACAUGGGGAACGAGGUCGAUGAUUGUUUUCGCUGGAACAGUUCGAAAAUGUCAGAUGCUGAAGGAAAUUCUUUCAGUCUUGGGAAUAAACUGUGUUGCCUUACACGCUGCCAAGAAACAAGCACGCAGACAUGCCAGCCUCUCGCGAUUCAAAUCUGGCGAAAUUCAAAUAAUGAUUGCUACUGACAUUGCAUCACGCGGCCUUGAUAUUCCAACGGUUGACAUGGUUGUAAACUAUGAUGUGCCCUUAAUCCCCCGGGAUUAUAUUCAUCGGAUCGGGCGCACUGCACGGGCUGGGCGGGUUGGCAGAGCCAUCACACUUGUGACACAGCAUGACAUUUCCUUGGUGCAUCAAAUCGAACAACUCACCUGUAGAAAGCUAGUUGAGCUUUCUAAACUUUCUGAGGAAGCUAUUCUGAAAGAUAUGGCGC